GGGAGCUGGAGCUUUUCUGGACACAGUUUAUCCACCAGCAUCGGGCCUCCGUCCCUGCUUCUCCCGAAAUAUCGUUCUGCAAAGGAGAAGAAGGAGGGGGAAAAGAAGGGGAAAAAAAAAAAAAAAAAAAGAAGAAGAAGAAGAAGAAGUCGGAGCCCAAGGAGUCGCUGUGCAAUUUAUUCCAAGGGGUGGCUGUUGAGAAGGCGGCAAUUUGCGGCGGCCGGGGGUUAUUUAGUGCGAUAUGAAAUCAAAUGAUCCUAUUGCUCAAAUAACAGUGUCUGGGAGGAGAAGCGAGCGCGCUCCAAAGGUAAUUGUCUCCAGAUGAUAUUCCCAUUAUCCCCCAAUCCCGGCCUAAACGCUGCCAGCGCCGGACUGGAAUCGAUACGGGGGGAGGACCGGGGGGAUGCCGGGGCCGGGGGGAGGCAUCCCCGGCACUGACCCCCCUCGGGAAGGGCGGCAGGGCUUCGGGAAGACCUGAAAUUCCCUGUGGCUGCUGCCCGUCCGUGCCUCGGCCGGAGCGGCAACACCGGCGGGGGAGCCGAGCCCGGAGCCCAGCAGCAGCAGCAGCAGCAGCAGCAGCGCUGAGAUGGAGCAGGAUGGAGUGGCCUGGCUGAGCCGUGGCCCUGCCGGCAGGAGCUGCAGGGCGGACAGCAGAGGGAAGAGCGUGGCCGUGAAUGUGUCAUUCUCCUGACAGAGCAUCCUGGCAAAACCACGGCUUGGUGCAGGGGACGGCACACGGGGGGUGAGGCAGCAGCAGACACCUGAAUGGAGACUCCUCGUGUUUACAGCCUGGUCACAGGAGUGACUGAGACCCGAAAUCUCCCUGACAUCCUCUCUGGCCUCGUUUGUGCCACACCCGCUCCCUUCCACUCGUGGAGCCUCCUACACUGCACAGGACACUGGAAAAGCACUUGGAGAUGGCUGGAGGAAGAAGGGGGCUUCCUGGAAAACAAUCUCUAAAUCAGGCCCUUCCCUGUGCCCUGGCUUUUCUGGGGCUCAUUAACAUCAGUGGUACGUGCUCGUAUCUCAAUUCUCCAGGAUUAAUUAAAAACCCACAGACAGUGCCAUGCCCAGGGGCUUCGCAAUUAUGUCAGCAGGCUGUGGCUGAGGCCCUUAUGUUUGUAAUAAACAUGACAUGCUUUUAGCUGCUGGGGUCUCCAGGUUUCUGUGCGCUCAGCCGUUGGGUUCCGCGUUCCAGGUUCCUGCUGGAGGAACUCUGUCACCUGCCCCGAGGCGGCAGAUCUGAGGCCAGACGUGGUGUGCGCUGCCUCUGCGUCAGACACGAGUAAUAACAGGUUCCGAGGAGCUGUACCACUUAAUAAAAGCAUUUUAUUACAUUUAAAUGUAUUAAAAUGUGAACAUUAAAUUCAACACGCUAAUUACUGUUCCCAGGCAUUGCCACCGACGGGAAAUGGAUCCUCACAACUGCUCUGCUGAGAUCGCUCACUGCUGUUGCUGCUCUUUGGUUCCUGGCGUGUUAUUAGUGCUCUGCACUUGGGACUGGAGUCAUUAACAAAAAGGACUCAUGUUGGGCAUUAUGUAAAUUCUCUGUAUUCUUCCACACAGCCACCGGGGCCUGUGGUAUGUGUCUCAUUGAGAAAAAAGAAAAGCAAAUGCAUUUGGCUGUGCCCUGGCUUGAGGGUGAGCUCACUGUGCUCUCAGGGAUCACCCAGGCACAGCCACAGAGAGGGAAAACCUCUUCCCAACACAUCCUUGUGUUUCUGGAAAUCCCUUUCCAGGAAAAUCUGUCCCCCCCACCUGCUUGCUGCGUGUCCUGUGACACCCUGCCACGGACACCAACAAUUCCCGCUCUGUAUGGAGUUUCCCACUUUUCUGGGAGCGAGGGGCUUCCCAUCCCUGCAGCAGGCAGGAGCAGCACCUGGAUCCAUUGCCCUGGAAAAGUGGGAAAGCCUGCCAGGGGUCUGUGGUAGGUGAGGCCAGGUGCUCAGCUCCGUGAGGCCAGUCCCACACCCUCACAAUGAGGCCAGUCCCCCACAUCCCAGAGGAAAGGGGGAUGCUCAAGGACACGUGGCUGCCUCCUGAAAUGAAAAAGAGCCUAAAGCCGUUCAGAUUAGAGCACAUCAAUCCCUGGGCUGGAAUCAAGAGAUGCUUUGGUUUGGCAGCUACUGGGGACAAAGCCACCAUUUCUGUUCAAAGUGUACUUAAUGCGACAGAAGGAGGCGGCUUCUUUUGACAGUUUUACAGCUCUUAUCAGAUUACAUCAAAAUUAAAUUAAAACAAUCUAAAAGAAGUGUGAAGUACUGUGGGGAGAACACAAACAAAACACUCCUCUUUGUAGGCUUUCAGGGAAGGGCCCACAGUCCUUAUCAGGGAUGGGAGGAUGGAGAUUAUUCUUGAGUCAAUUACGAGCCUGAUGAGCACAUGGAACAAAGUGGGAAAUACGUCGGGGGACCAGGCUAAGGCUCCUCAUUUCCCUAUUUUUCGUUAAAUAAAUAGCAGGAUAUUGAGCCCUGCCUGCAGUUCAACAUCCCUCAGUCCUAGCCUGGGGUCCUCAGGGAAAAAAAUCCUGCCGGGGCUGCCCAGGAGACGAACUGUGCAUCCCGAUGGGUCAGGGGCCAUCGGCCCCUUCCCACCACACCCUGAAAAUGCAGUUUGGGAAUAAGGCUUGCAGUGGGCUGGGCAUUUCAGACAGGGCUGGGAGCGCUAGGGAGUUUUGUACCGUUUGCGGUGUUCUUUUAGCGAGCACAGAUAUUUCUGAAAGCAGGCCCAGGUUUCACCUGCGGGCUCUUGUGAAGCUGUGAGGGAGAUCUCCAAAACACAGCUCUGCCUUCAGUAAACAGAGGAAGGGGGGAGAACUGUCCUCAUGAUGAGCCCACUUUAUGGGAAUGCAAUCCUGAAAGGCUCCCAAGUCCUCUGCUGGGCAUUCCUGGAGUGGGAAAGCUCUGAUCGAGCCCAUCCACGCUUUGCUGAGCCGGGUAUUUCGGGGACACACACGGGGUCUGAGCCAGGCUAAUCUGGGGACAGCUGGGUGCCACUACACCCAUUCCACAGAGCUUUUGGCUCUGUGUUCAGAUCUGUGGGGCUGAGCUGGAGGCUGCAGGUGUUGGAAACACCAGAAAUGCUGCUGGAUCACCGAACCCAGCCGAGGAACCCCAGAAGCUUCCGAUCCCCCCACGUCCAGGGCAUGUCCCCAGCCGGAGCCUCCAGCUCCAGCCGAGCUUUUCCAUGUGUCGGUUCUUGGCCAGGAGUUCUAAUGAAGGGUAAUUACUGUGAUGAUCUCGCACUAAUUGUACACUGAUUGCUGUCCUAAUUAUGCUUGAGCAUUUCACCGCUCUCCGCAAUUUUGUCUAUUGAUGUAUGGCUUCUCCUUCAUUUCAAUUAUUCACGCGGUAUUCAGAUUUUAUUGGGGGCCUGGAAUUUAAGCGCUCAUUUGGCAACUUCCUUUCAAAGGGAUCAAAGUUUUUAUCUGGAAAUGAAA